GAUAUCGCCAGGACCAAGGAAGCCCUC
rnacentral:piRNA from 1 species